GGGGUUCUAGCUCAUAUGGUAGAGCGCUCGCUUUGCAUGCGAGAGGCGCGGGGAUCGAUACCCCGGAGCUCCA
rnacentral:tRNA from 1 species